rnacentral:piRNA from 1 species
UGGAUGAUGGGGAAUGUGUCCUCUGC